UUUUAUUUUUAGCUCACCUGGCCUAAAAGGCCAAGUGAGCUUUUCUCAUCACUUGGCGUCCGGCGUCCGUCGUCGUCCGUCGUCGUCGUUAACUUUUACAAAAAUCUUCUCCUCUGAAACUACUGGCCAAAUUAAACCAAACUUGGCCACAAUCAUCAUUGGGGUAUCUAGUUUAAAAAAUGUGUCCGGUGACCCGACCAACCAUCCAAGAUGGCCGCCAUGGCUAAAAAUAGAACAUAGGGGUAAAAUGCAGUUUUUGGCUUAUAACUCAAAAACCAAAGCAUUUAGAGCAAAUCUGACAUGGGGGGUAGAAUUGUUAAACAGGUGAAGAUCUAUCUGCCCUGAAAUUUUCAGAUGAAUCGGAUAACCCGUUGUUGGGUUGCUGCCCCUGAAUUAGUAAUUUUAAGGAAAUUUUGCUGUUUUUGGUUAUUAUCUUGAAUAUUAUUAUAGAUAGAGAUAAACAGUAAACAGCAAUAAUGUUCAACAAAGUAAGAUUUACAAAUAAGUCAACAUGACUGAAAUGGUCAGUUGACCCCUUUAGGAGUUAUUGCCCUUUAUAGUCAAUUUUUAACCAUUUUUCGUAAAUCUUAGUAAUAUUUUACAAAAAUCUUCUCCUCUGAAACUACUGGGCCAAAUUAUCCAAACUUGGCCACAAUCAUCUUUUGGGUUAGUAGUUUGAAAAAUGUGUCCGGUGACCCGGCCAACCAUCCAAGAUGGCCGCCAUGGCUAAAAAUAGAACAUAGGGGUAAAAUGCAG
rnacentral:lncRNA from 1 species